UACGGGGGGGGCAAGCGUUGUUCGGAAUUACUGGGCGUAAAGGGCUCGUAGGUGGCCAACUAAGUCAACCGUGAAAUCCCUCAGCUUAACUGGGGAACUGCGUCUGAUACUGGAUGGCUUGGAUUCGGGAGAGGAAUGCGGAAUUCCAGGUGUAGCGGUGAAAUGCGCAGAUAUCAGGAAGAACACCAACGGCGAAGGCAGCUCGCUGGGACGGUACUGACGCUGAGACGCGAAAGCGUGGGGAGCGAACAGG
rnacentral:rRNA from 1 species